AGGAAGGUUCUCGAGAUAUGGAAGGCCCUCAGACGAAGUAGACGAGGAGGCGGGAUGGACGCAUGGUACUCUCCGGUGUCCGGGAGUGCAGAGCGUACUGGAUUUACCGCGAGAGAUUUUUGUUUCUUUAUCAUUCGGGUGGGGAAUGUUGAGGAGUUAUUGUUCUUAUUGGAAAAUAUUUGUUGAUACAGUCUUGUCUAUUGGUUAUGAUAGUUUCUAUGAUGGUACUACAGUAUGCCCAUUCAAAUAGUAGUUGAUGAAAAAAAAAACUUGGGAUGUUUCAGUUGGUAUCAGAGCCACACUCCUAAGGGACAGCAUGCGCCAGCCAUCUCGUCAGGUGAGGAAGGUUCUCGAGAUAUGGAAGACCCUCAGACGGAGUAGACGAGGAGGCGGGAUGGACGCAUGGUACUGUCCAGUGUCCGGGAUUGCAGAGCGUAUUGGAUUUACCACGGGAGAUUUUUAUUUCUUUAUCAUUCGGGUGGGGAAUGUUGAGGAGUUAUUGUUCUUAUUGGAAAACAUUUUUUGAUACAGUCUUGUCUAUUGGUUAUGGUAGUUUCUAUGAUAGUACUACAGUAUGUCCAUUCAAAUAGUAGUUGAUGAAACAAAAAAACUUGGGAUGUUUCAAAGGAAGUUCAA